rnacentral:rRNA from 1 species
CCUACGGGGGGCAGCAAUUAGGAAUCUUGCGCAAUGGGGGGAACCCUGACGCAGCGACGUCGCGUGAAGGAUGAAGGCCUUCGGGUCGUAAACUUCUUUUGAGUGGGAAGAAGUUUGACGGUACCACUCGAAUAAGCCCCGGCUAACUACGUGCCAGCAGCCGCGGUAAUACGUAGGGGGCGAGCGUUGUCCGAAGUUACUGGGCGUAAAGCGCGCGUAGGCGGUUAUUCAAGUCUGGGGUGAAAGGUUCAGCGCUCAACGUGAACAGUGCCUUGGAUACUGGAUGACUUGAGUCUGGAAGGGGGAAGGGGAAUUCCUGGUGUAGCGGUGAAAUGCGUAGAUAUCAGGAGGAACACCGGUGGCGAAGGCGCCUUCCUGGUCUAAGACUGACGCUGAGGUGCGAAAGCGUGGGGAGCAAACGGGAUUAGAUACCCUUGUAGUC